rnacentral:rRNA from 1 species
GAUGAACGCUGACAGAAUGCUUAACACAUGCCAGUCAACUUGAAUUUGGGUUUUUAACUUAGGUUUGGGUGGCGGACGGGUGAGUAACGCGUAAAGAACUUGCCUCACAGCUAGGGACAACAUUUGGAAACGAAUGCUAAUACCUAAUAUUAUGAUAAUAGGGCAUCCUAUAAUUAUGAAAGCUAUAAGCGCUGUGAGAGAGCUUUGCGUCCCAUUAGCUAGUUGGAGAGGUAACGGCUCACCAAGGCGAUGAUGGGUAGCCGGCCUGAGAGGGUGAUCGGCCACAAGGGGACUGAGACACGGCCCUUACUCCUACGGGAGGCAGCAGUGGGGAAUAUUGGACAAUGGACCGAGAGUCUGAUCCAGAAAUUCUGUGUGCACGAUGAAGUUUUUCGGAAUGUAAAGUGCUUUCAGUUGGGAAGAAACAAAUGACGGUACCAACAGAAGAAGUGACGGCUAAAUACGUG